CCGGGGCCCAGGCCAGGACAACACACCACCUUCAGUAGUCUCCGUGGGUCGGGGGCUGCUCCCUGGCCUUGCCUGCUCUGUCACCUGCUCUGCAGUUUUAAAGGGAUCGGGCGGGCAGUGUGGCCUUGGCUCAGGCCACUUAGGAAGGGCGCAGGGCUCUGUCAGAGAGCACACGACGCCAGCCUGUCACACGCUCGUCCGUGUGAUUGCAGUCACCGGGUGCAGCUGUCAUCUGCCUGCUUUCUCCGCCACUGUGUCACCAGUCUCUCUUCGCUCUUCUAUGAGGUUCCAUGAGACAACUCGGCACUCUGCACGCAACAUCUGUGUGACUGCUGAUGUAAAGGCUCCCUAUCCCGUGUCAGGCACCUGCUGUCUGGACCCACAAGUAUGGGGAUUUGACAGCAGUGUGAACCGGGGUAGACGAUGACGUGCUUUUCGGCUGCUGUGCACAAGCCCUGGGAAGGCCCGGCUGUCAGUGAGGAUCUCCAGAGCUCGACUGGACUCCAGGAGAAGAGGAAAGCGGAGGUUUGGCACCAGUCCACGUUUCUUGUCCCAAGAGUAUUCUCUGUAAGAAGCAGAGAAGGAAACUUUUCAGAGUAGGCAGGUUUGCAGGGGAAAAGGAAAAUUAGCGGCUGUUUUUUUUUUUUAAGGAACACAUGUGACAUAAUAGUUUAAAAUGCUCAUUUAAAAGAUGGUGAGGCUGGAGUUGUGGCACAGCAGGUAAAGCCUCCACCUGCAACACCAGCAUCCCCUGUGGGCACCUGGUAGAGACCUGGUUGCUCCACUGCUGAUCCAGCUCCCUGCUAACGGCCUGGAAAGAGCAGCAGAGGGUGGUCCAAGUCUUUGGGCCCCUGCCACCCACGUGGGAGACCUGCAAGAAGCUCCUGGCUCCUGGCUUUGGCCUGGCCCAGCCCAGGCUAUUGAGGCCAUCUGGGAGUGUACCAGCAGAUGGAAGCUUUCUCUCUCUCUCCCUCAGACCCUCCUCUCUCUCUGUAACUCUGACUUUGAAAUACAUAAAUAAAGCUUACAGGAAAAUGCCUGGAUGUGGAUCU
rnacentral:lncRNA from 1 species